UUUUUCAUCAUCUCACUCUCUCUUUUCACCGCUUCUCCUCGGCGUAUCUCUCAACAUCUCCGAUCAAACCAUGAGCAUCAAACCAUGAGCAAAGGUCCAGGACUAUUCUUCUCUGACUCUGAUAUCGGCAAGAAAGCCAAAGCUCUGUUGACGAGAGAGGGACUACAACACCGAGCAGAAGUUCAGUAUCUCCACCAUACACAGUGCCUCGGGCGUGGCCCUUUACGUCUACUGCUCUCAAGAAAGGAGGAGUGCAUGCUGCUGCUGAUGUUUUGAUUUUAAGCAUUUACAAUCAAGCAAAAGGCGGGAAUCAAGUGAAACUUGGCGACUUCCCCUCUCAGCAUUAUUGAGAAAAGAGAUAGAGGGCACUGUAAGUCUGUAACAUGGCUUCUUGUCCGCUUUGCUUGACACGCAAGUCAACUAUGUUGCGGCUUUUUAAGUUGCUGGCGAUGGUUAGUAGGAACAGAGCAAGUGAAAGCACUAAGGAGAGGCGAGCAACAUCUGUUUCUAGCUCCGAGUCCCUCCCUGAGAGGAUCCUAGUCACUAACUCUCUCCCCUUCAUCUCAGAGUCUAUCGAAAGAUGUCGGAUCCGGUCACCCUAAUCGAUCGGCGAAGAAAACUGCAAUUACCAGACUAGGAGUUGCCUGAGAAGAGGAUGAGUUUCUUCAGAGAUAUCUCUUCUUCCUCGACAAAGGUCCAAGAAUAUAUGGGCUUUGGAACAACGCCUCCCAGGUCUAUUUUUUUCUUCUUAAAACUGAUUUUUUCACUUUUUUUAAAAAAAAAUUCUUCUUAAAACUGAUUUUUUCACUUUUUUUAAGAUUUUUUUCUUUUUUGACAACUUUUUUUUUAAUUUCAUUUUAAGCUUACACAUUUUGGAUUUUACUGAAAUAAUUAUCAUUAACUAAAAAAUAUAUAUUUAUUUUGGAAACAAAUUGGUAAUAAAUCUCGCAUGUUGAAAACAAAUCAAGGUAUUACACCAAUUCCGUUGGCAGUGUAAAUGUUUAACAUGUUUUUUUCAUAUUGUGAAUGAAUUUUAAUUUGUUGAAAAUCAAACCAAUUUUUUGCAUCCAGUCUUUUUCCAAACUGAAAAUAUAUUAUUUAGCUAAUAAUAAUAACUUUAGUAAAAUCUAAAUUUUUAAGUUAAAAUAUUUCGUAUGGUUAAUAUUUUAAUUUGUUUGAAAAUAAUUAAAAUGUAGUGUUAAAUAUGAAAAUAUUUGUAUAGUAAUAAUACAUUAUUCGUAAAAAUAUUUAGAAUUUAGCUUUAAAACCCAAAAAAUAAAAAUAAAACAGUUUAAAAAAAAAGAAAGAAAAAUAUGGAUGUUUGGUUA